GUCCAUGACCAGAUCGGGUCCACCCCAAAAUAUGAAGCUGCAACUUCUCUGAUAGUUUAGAGAUGGAAUGGAGACUAAAUCGUGCACAUGAAUGAAGGUUUUGCCAUCCUAAAUACCAUGAAUAUAUUGCACGAGGCCCUACAACCAUUCCAUAGGCCAUGUUUAAACCCCCAACACUCACGUUUGCGCAAGCUCGAGAAGUGUUGGACCUCUCUCUAAAACCCACCCUAACCAAAGUCUCAUACUCUUUCUCUCUCUACCGCUCCCUCCUCCGUGAUUGCAUCAAAACCUCUUCACUCUCCUCGGGCACAAGCCUUCACGCCCACAUCAUCAAAACCCUACACCACUGUGACCCCCACACCAGCAACCAUAUCCUCACACUCUAUGCAAAAUGUAAUGAUCUAUCCUCUGCUAAACAAGUGUUUGAUGAAAUGCCUCAAAGAGAUGCAGUGGCUUGGAACUCCAUGAUCUCUGCUUACACUGAGCAUGGCUACCACGAAAAGGCAUGCGCCAUGUUCAUGGCCAUGCAUGGGCAUGGACCAAGGCCUGACAAUUAUACUUUUGGUAGCCUUUUGAGAACCAUAGGAGCCUUGCAGGCUCUCACGCUUGGCCUCCAAAUCCAUACUUUGGUGAUCAAAUUGGGUUUCGAGCAUAAUGUGUUUACGGGCACUGCAAUUCUUGAUAUGUAUGCAAACUGUCGAUGCAUGGGUGAUGCCGAGAUAGUUUUUGAUGGCAUGAGAGAGAGAAACAUGGUCACAUGGAAUGCAUUGAUAGCAGGCUAUGCGAGUGGUCGAGAGCUCGGGUCAGGGAUUCUAGCACUUAACUUUUUAGAGAGAGAAAAAUUUGCCCCUGACCAGUCCACUGUUGCUAGUGUCCUUUCAGUAUUAGAUUCAUUGGACCAAGUCGAAAUCUCACGACAAAUCCAUGGUAAAAUUUUCAAGCAUGGCCUGCACUCUGAUGUUGUAGUUGGUAAUGCAUUGAUAUCGGCUUAUGCAAAAUGUGGGUUGAUCGGAAGUUCCGAGAAAGCAUUCUUUACCAUGGAAGUUAAGGACUCCGUGAGCUUUAAUUCGAUGCUUUCGGCUUAUGGAUCACAUGGCCAUGGCCAUAAGGCCAUUGGGCUCUUCCUUAUGAUGCUUAAUUAUGGCAAGAAACCUGAUAAAUUUGCAUAUUCUAGCAUCAUAAGUGCAUGUGGAGAAGAGCAUGGGGCAACCAUCCAUGGCAUGGCCAUAAAAGCCGGCGUCGGAGAAGCACUCGAAGUCUCAAACUCUCUCAUCGCCAUGUACCUUAAGCAUAGCCUUGUGGCCCUUGCUCAUAAACAAUUCGAGAACAUGGAGUUCAAAGACAUUGUUUCAUGGAAUUCUAUGAUAGCUGGCUAUGCUCAAGGCAACAUGGGGGAGGAAGCCUUGAGGAUUUUCUCACUCAUGCGCAAAUCGAGCGGCCAUUGCUCUCUCUCUGGUGGGUCGUCUUCUCUCAUGAGCGUGACUGGUGUCGACCACUAUACUUUCUCUAGUGUUCUGAGAUCAUGCGCUGAUCUCGCUAGUCUACAGUUAGGUGAGCAAGUCCAUGGUUUGAUCACAAAGCUUGGUUUUACGCAGGACCCAUUUGUGGGGAGUUCAUUGAUCUUCAUGUAUGGGAAAUGUGGGUCACUCGAAGGGGCAGAAUACGCAUUUGAGGAGGGGUCAAGAUGCAGUACUGUAAUUUGGAAUGCGAUCGUAUUUGGUUGUGCACAACAUGGGCAAGCUGAUUAUGCCAUCCAACUCUUUGAGGAGAUGAAAGAGGAAGGGAUUCAACCUGACCAUGUGACUUUUGUAGGGGUUCUCUCGGCUUGUAGUCAUGCAGGUCUAGUGAGAGAAGGCUCUCGGUACUUGGAGACAAUGACCACUCUUCAUGGCAUUGAGCCCAGAAUGGAGCACUACGCAUGUGGGGUUGAUAUGUUUGGUCGUUCAGGCCUUCUCAGUGAGGCCAAAGCCCUAAUUGAUUCCAUGCCAUUUGAGCCGGAUGCCACAAUAUGGAAAACACUGCUAGGAGCUUGUCGAGUCCAUAAAAACAUGGAUCUGGCAAAUGUUGCUGCAAAAUUCAUGCUCGAAUUGGAGCCUAAGGAGCACGCAACAUACAUUUUGCUCUCAAAUAUAUAUUCAAGUUUUGGAAGAUGGGAAGACCAUGCUGAAAUCAAGAGAAGGAUGAGAAAGAAAGGCCUUCGAAAGGUGCCAGGCCAAAGCUGGAUAGAAGCACAAGGAAGUGUUCAUGUGUUUUGUGCGGACGACCGAUCUCACCCACAAGCUAGAGAGGUAUAUGAGAAGCUCAAGGAACUUAUUGAGCGGAUUAGAGCGAUGGGUUAUGUUCCUGAUACUACAUUUGUGAUGCAAAAUUUGGAUGAGGAGGAGAAAGAAAGAGAAAUCAAGUAUCAUAGUGAGAAGUUGGCAGUGGCUUUUGGGGUUAUGCAGACAGGGCCUGGAUCGGUGAUUCGUAUUAUGAAGAACCUAAGGGUUUGUGGAGAUUGCCAUGCUGCUUUUAAGUUGAUUGCGGUGGCAGUAGAGAGAGAAAUUGUGAUGAGAGAUGCAAAUAGGUUCCACCACUUUAGGGAUGGAAUUUGCUCUUGUGGAGACUAUUGGUAGUUGGAAAUAACAAGAAUGAAUGAUGAAGGGGAUAUAGGGAGACACAUUGUGAUUAAGAUGCACACAAGUUUCAGCAAUUUGGGAUCUGAGGCUUUCUUUUAGGGAUGGAGAAGAGAGAAUGAUAAGGAUGAUUCAGAGCCCUAACCAAAAAGGAAUAUGAUAUGUGAAGAGGAUGAUUCAGAAACUCAAACAAAAAAGGGCUAAGAUACGUGACGAGGAUGAUUAAAAGAUCCUAAUGAAAAAGGGAUGAGAUAUGGAGGGAACAGAUUGACUGAAAUUCAAAGAUAUUACUAUCAAUCACCAUCUAAAAGAGUGCCAUUUGAAUAAAAAGAGACACUUCCUUUUAUCCUAAUUCUGUCAAUUGCCUCUAGCUCUCAUGGCUUCAGAGCUAUAGGCAACCUGAUCCUUGCUCUCUCUCUAGCUGAGUGAUAGAUCCAAUCUCCUAUUAUUUGGCUAUUGUCCAUUCAUCUUCACAACCAUUGGAAUUGUGGUACACUUCUCAAGGAGAGAGUCCAGUGGCUCCAUAAAAUAGAUAUCAGUCAAUAUUAAGGGUGGACAUGAAUGUCCUUAAUAACUUGCCUCGGCUGGGAAAGGAUCUAUGAGUCCUCAUGUCUUAGAACACGGAAAGGCAAUCACCUAUAGCCAAGAUAGGUUGGUCUCUGGCCUUAACUGUCAGGUGCAGCCUGAGAGAUGCCUUAGAUAAGCCCUUGAGAGGUCUUAGCUAAAAACAAGAUCCUUGCAUGCCCUUGGUGUAAGAUCCUUAAAAAAAGCACACCCUUUUUCCAGUUUAAGGCAGCAUUCCUUAACGCAAUAAGUUCAUAAGGCCUUAAUAAAACGAAUGUCAUUCUUUUGGGUUGCUUAUAGAUUCUCCUUGAGAUUCCACGCCCGAAACAGAAUAGCAUGGAAGAUGUUCAUCAUUCCAACCCGACCUUGGCCUCUUAGAAUAUUGGACAAGAAGAUAAAUAGUCGAUCCUGGGGUCUUCGUAUUCAGAGGAUGAACAGUCAACGCCGGGACUCUUUCAUAUUCAGUAGAUGAACAGUUAAGCCUGGACUCUUCAUUCAGAAGGCAAGCAAUCAUUGAGGGAUUGGGGCUGUCAACGGCCCAGGUUUGGGUGUCAAACCGAAGCUCAAGCCUCCUAAAAUAGUGUAUGGUUGGUCUAGGCCCUGAAAUUAAGUUUCGGGCCCAAUUCCAGCCCAGGCAAGAAACGGUGUAUGGUAGGCCUGGGCCCAAAGUUUUAGUUUUGGGCCCUGCACAGACACAGAAAUAUUUUUAGAUAUAUGUAAAAGAAUAUUUAUUUUAUGUAACGUAUAUACUUAAAAAGUAUUUAAUGGAGUUUGAAAUGAUCAUACACUUCUUUGUAUUUAGAAAGCGAACAAUCUUUGGUGGAUCUCAAAGAGUCAUGUUUGUGAACAUGGAUGAGUCAAUAAAGGCGUUGUACACUAGGAGACCAAUUGCCAUGGUUACACGGAAUGCACAAUCACUCUUAGCUAUUAGAUAUCAAAUUGGAUGGCUUGGGGUAUGUCACAAGUUUGAGAAAUUUUUUAUGAAUUUUGUGUCUAGUCAAUGACACACUUAUAACCUCCCUAUUUAAAAUCUGGCUGACAAGAAUGAUUGUGACCUUCUUAUACUGAAAGUAAAUCGUCUCUUUGUAUACUUUUCCAUCAAUAGAAAAUGCAAAAAAUUUUGAGAUUGUUUCUCUUAUGGAUUCAGCAAUAUGCAGGGACCUCUUAAAACUAUAAAUACUGGACUAAUUUUAGGGCCUAGGCUUACCCAUACACUAUUUGGGGUCUACUCCUAGAACCUCCUAAUCUAGGAGGGUUGUAACACAAAAAUAAAUAAAAUAAAUAAAUAAAUAAAUCUAGGAGGGUUGUAUCUUGGGGUCUACUCCUAGAACCUCCAUUCACUAUACUUGGUUUUUCAUCAGGUGGAGAGCAAGUACUGACCUUAAGUCCUGACAAGUUAAGUGAAUCUCCCUCUUUGUGGAUCUAAGUCCCAAACGAUCAGCCUGCAUUAUCCAUUGCAAUUCUAGCCAGUUUCUCUCUCUAGGGUGGGGAUUGUAUUCUACAACUUGCCGAAAAUUACAGGUAGCAGAAAAUAGCAGUUUCAAGCCAUAAGUUCUCAGACAUUAGAGUAUUGGAUUUCUGCGAUUUUUGGCUCAUUGAAAGGUCAAGUCUACUUUCAAAGCUUCACUAAAAACUGUCCUAUGUAAGUUGCAGAUAGAAAAUUAGUGGAGUUGUAUCUCAAUUCUGCACAUUGUUCAUAAGUUUAAACAGUUGUGGCGUGGUAAACCUUAGAUCAAUGAAUAAUUUCAGUAAGCAAUACCACACUCAUUUGAAAGUUAUUUGAGUCUACUUUAUGCUUAAGAAAUUUUAGAUUAAAAUAUUAUUAGAGCUGGGUGGGCGAAGUGGAGAUAUGCAACAAGAGUUUUGUGUGACCACCGCACACCAAUGAAGCUGAAGGGGAAGUUCUAUAGGACAACUAUAAGACCGGCUUUGCUUUAUGGGGCGGAAUGUUGGGCGGUCAAGAAACAACAUAUCUAUGGGAUGAUUGUAGCUGAGAUAAUGAUGUUGAGUUGGAUGAGUAGCAAGACAAAAAGGGAUAGAAUUCAAAAUGAAUACAUUUGGGAGAACUUAGGUGUGGCUCCGCUACGCUAUAAGAUGAGAGAAAGUAGACUUAGGUGGGCUGACCAUGUGCAGUGCAGACCCACUUGUUUGGAGGUAUGAGUUGGUUCCAGUAGAAGGCGCAAAAAGGGCAAAGUGUGGGCCCAAAAGGACAUGGUUGGAAGUAGUGAGAAAAAUACGGGGUCUUAUGGCCUCACUGAAGGUAUGGCCCUUGAUAGAGCAAAAUGGUGGAUCAGGCUUCGUGUAGUGAUCCCCAAAUAGUUGGAAAAAGGUUCUAAUGAUGAUGAUGAUGAUAAUAUAGUUUGAGGGUUUGUACUCAAAAUCUAAACAAUACUUCAGUACUCAAAAUCUGAACAACACUCCUAAGGUUGGUAUCUAGUCUAAUUAGUUGCAAGAUGGAGGAGGUACUUCAAAAGGGAAGUGAUGAAAUUGGAAAAGUUAGUAUGGAGUUAUCUAUAUGAUAGUGAAGCUCAAGUUCAUACUCACUUCCAUGAAUGUAUCCUACAUUGCUAACGAGCUCUACAGUUCAUUAUUGAUCGAAGAGGCCCAUACUUCUCAUAUGGCUCUAGAAGACAAGAAAGAUAAGAGAGGGAGGCCUCGCGUCUCCCAAAGAGCAAAGGCUUCUUCAAGGGCAAAUGGUCCACCUUCAAGAGGACUGUUAGGUUGCACACUGUGGGAAACUUAGUCACUUCAAGAACUAAUGCCGGGGAAGUGGUUCACUUUUUCGAGUGGUCAUGGAAUCCCUAAACAUCGAAAUGAAGGCUAGCUAGUACAUGACUGAGGAGCCAAGAAACAUUUCUACUACAGUCACUAGUUGUUGACUCCCAACAGGGAGACUAAUGUUCUGUGGUGUGGAUGGGAGACAACAACUCUUCUCAGGUGGCCGUGAGGGCAGAUCGAUAGGAAUCUGAUUUCUCUAGCAUUACUAGAGAAAUCAGGUUUUGAGUCACAAUCAGGUUUUGAGUUACUCUUCCGUGCUGGAAAGCUGGUUUUGAUGAAAAACAGAGAGAUUGUUUCAUCAGGAUCCCAUAUAAAAAAUGUAUAUCAAUUAAAUGAAAAAUUUGUUGGCUAUGAGAUGUAUCUAGUAGAGGAUUUUGUUGUUUGACACAAGACGUUAGGCCACAUUAAUUAUGACACUGCAAGGCUCUUAGCACAAAAGAUUUCGAGUGAGACGUGUGUUGGAUAGCAUUCCAUUGUGUGACCACUUGCAUUACUGAUAAGUUUUCUAAAAUCCCUUUGAAGACUAGUGUGCGUGCAUCUGAACUAUUGGCAAUUGUGAAUGUUGAUACAUGUUGGCAGCUUCCAAAGUCUAGUGGGGGUAGUGAAUACUUUAUGAUUGCUCUUGAUAUUGGUUCUAUGUAUUUCACAAAAUGACAAGUCUAUAGUGUUUACAAAAUUUCUUGGUGCAAGUUCGAAGUAUAGAAUCAAUUGGAUAGACAGAUCUUGGAUAGAAAGAUCAAAGUACUGAGGAGUAAUAAUGCUCUUUUUCCUCUCUUUAUGCCUAGCGAUAUGGAUUACACAAACAUGGUGACUGCCCUUGGUCAGACACAAAGUAAUAAAUGUGGUGACUAAUUCCAUAACAAUAUCAAUUGUCUAUGCAGCAGCUCUCCCUCAGGGGAACAGGUACCUACUAAUGUUUGCAAGCUAAUAACCAGUUUGGGGAAACCUUCAAGACACUUGGCGCAACUGAGCUACAGAACCUGCUGAUGAAUGACCAGAUUCACAGAUGGAGCUCCUCAAGGACACCAUGUUCUAUGUAAUGUCUAAUGUGUAUAGUGUGGAAGUAAACUGCUGAGUCUUAAGUAUUUCUUUAUCAUCAUCAUCAUUGUCGUCAAAGCUUUUUUCCAACUAAUUGGGAUUUGCUACACGAAUCCUGGUCUGUCAUUCUGCUCUAUUAAGGGGCAUACCCUCAGUGAGGCCAUAAUCACGUGUUUGUGUUGGAUCAGUCUCUCUCUAUAUAAGCUCUCUAUAUAAAGUAAACUAGGUGCUUCUGUUGCAAAUAGUGGGACCAUGCUGAAAUCAAAAGGAAGAGAGUAGAGAACGGCCUUUGGGAGGUGCCUGGCCAAAGCCAUAUAGAAGCUUAAAGGAAGUGUUCAUUAAGCUAGAGAGAUACAUGACAAGCUCGAGGAGCUUAUUGGAAGAAAAUUAGAGGUAGAGGGAUGGUUAUGUCUGUGAUGCAAAAUAUAGAUGAGGAGAAGACAGACAGAAAUAAGGUGUCAAAGAGAGAAGUUAGCGGUGGAUUUGGCUGCUAUACAUGUAGGACCUGGAUCAGGAAUAGGAUUAUGAAGAACCUGACAGUGCAUGGAGACCGCCAUGCGGCUAUUAAGCUGUUUGCGGUGGUGGGAGAGAGAAAUUGUGUUGCGAGACGCAAAUAUGUUCCUCCACUUUAGAGAUGGGAUCUGCUUUUGUGGAGACUACUGGUAGAUCAAAAUGAAUUGUAAGAAAGUUGGGGAGAGAGAUUGCGAUGAGAGAUGCCCUUAUGUUCCACCAGUUUGAGAUGGGUUCUUUUUUGGGAAUGGAGAGUGAAAAGGCUGACGGAGAGGAUAGUUUUGGGGAGAGAUUGUGUGCAGAAGAUGCAGCCAGGUUCUUUCACUUUAGGAAUGGAGCUUGCUUUCAUGGAAACGUGGUAAACGGGAAUACAAGGGGGGGAAUAGAGGGUAGAAGUAUACGAGCAUGGGAAUUCCAUGCAAGACAGACAAUGGAAAGGGAGUGCGACUCUUUUUUCUUUUUCUUUUUUUUUUCUUCUUCUUUUUAUGAAUGUUAACUUAAGAUCUUUGAUAAUGGAACUCCACGUGUCAUGUUGUUGACUCAUUACCCUGACCACUUCUUGAGAGAUAGUAACUCAUUAUGAGAUGAUGAUGAGGGAGAGAUUCAAAGGAAGAUGCCAUCUGAAUGCUCGUGUGGUGCCUUCUAAUGUUUGUGUCGUGUUGUUGCUAGAUGAUUAAUGAAGAUCUAAAUUAGUAUUGCCUGAUCUAGAUGGG